AUCUAAGCCUAUCCCAUAAUGCGAGGUUUACAGUAAUUAUUCAACGUACAUGAAGCAGUCAGAAAGUUUAUUGAGAUUUGAGAAAUAAAGUUACACUCAUAAGUAGCAAAACAGUGGAUGAAGAAGUGUGGGAUUAUGAGUGAUUAUUUCAUU